ACUCAACAGAUGAGUCCCAAAUAGGACGAAACGCGCGUCGAACCGGAU
rfam:Schistosoma margrebowiei strain Zambia genome assembly, scaffold: SMRZ_contig0013522